UUUUCCUCCCUCGGAUGACCUAUUUUGGGGAGUACCUGUUUCAUCUCCCACCUGGGCUCGCUGUUGAUUGGAAGAAGUUGUUAGCUUCUUUUCUCAGAACGGACAUGUGGAUUUGGGGCAAGGAAGAAAAGCAAAAGCAAAAGCCCAAACAUUCUAACACAGGAAUGGCGUUCGAAGAUCUGCAACUAUACUACUUGGAAAUGAUCCCCAGGCUAAAGUGACCAGGGAAGUGACCCAAAAAACAAAUUCUUCUUGACUUUUAAGGCAGGUGCAACUGUGGACAGCUGAGGUCCCCUUUGAAAUUAUCUUGCCAUCGUAGGAUGGGCUAGGAUGACUCAACUCUUUAAAUGCAUGUUAAAGACUGGCUACUGUAUUUACUACAUUCUGGCCUCAUUUUUUUUUGGUUAUGAUUUUGAAACUCAGAAUGAACAAUACCACGUGUGUGAUGUUUUGGUCGCAAACAUUAAAGACAGCGAAUAAUUAUAAGCAGCUGUGGAAGUCAACAUCCACUGUUAAACCCAUGAACCAUUCCAAAUUCCUCGGUGAGAUACUCUGAGAUAACAAAGAUUCCAGUGAGCAACUCAAUCAUGACAUCUUUAUUAUACCAUAGAUGAAUAUUUGUUAAAUAAAA
rnacentral:lncRNA from 1 species